rfam:Rattus norvegicus chromosome 20, whole genome shotgun sequence.
GGGGGUUUAGCUCAGUGGUAGAGCGCUUGCCUAGCAAGCGCAAGGCCCUGGGUUCGGUCCCCAGCUCCG